rnacentral:rRNA from 1 species
UACAGAGGUCUCAAGCGUUGUCCGGAUUCAUUGGGCGUAAAGGGUGUGUAGGUGGCGCGCUAAGUCGGGUGUGAAAUUUCGGAGCUUAACUCCGAAACUGCAUUCGAUACUGGCGUGCUUGAGGACUGGAGAGGAGACUGGAAUUUACGGUGUAGCGGUGAAAUGCGUAGAUAUCGUAAGGAAGACCAGUGGCGAAGGCGGGUCUCUGGACAGUUCCUGACGCUGAGGCACGAAGGCCAGGGGAGCAAACGGG